rnacentral:lncRNA from 1 species
GAUCAAAGAGAGUAGCCUGAUCAACUUUGACAAAGUCAGCAUCAAAGCUUUUCAAAUCAUCCUCGGAGGCUUUAUCAUCAGUCUUAGCAACAGCAUCGACGUGGCGCUUACAGUACUCAAUAACCUUAGCCAAGAUCUUGCUCGUAACAUUAGGGAGAGGGAUACUGGUAUCAGCACAAUCGUCUUCAAUCAUGUGUUUUAUAGUCUGUGAUUCCAACGCCACCGCCUCUUCCACCUCGAAAGUUUCGCCGUCGGAACUCUUCAACACAAUCAUCUUUGAAGUAGACAUGGUUCGAUUGAACAGAGCAAACAAAAACGCAAACCCUAGGUUUGUUAAACGAGAGAAACAAAGCAGACGGUAGAGACUAGAGAGAGAAAAAGUAGUGGAAUUCUAAUUAGCUUUGGGUCUAUAACUUUAUCUAUAUAUAAGGCUAAAAAAAUAUUUACUCGCAUGUAUUGAUUUAAAAGAAAAUAACAUUACGCCCGAAUCAAUAUUGGUUAAGGGAUAUGUUUU